AUUGAACGCUGGCGGCAGGCUUAACACAUGCAAGUCGAGCGGGGGAAGGUAGCUUGCUACCGGACCUAGCGGCGGACGGGUGAGUAAUGCUUAGGAAUCUGCCUAUUAGUGGGGGACAACAUCUCGAAAGGGAUGCUAAUACCGCAUACGUCCUACGGGAGAAAGCAGGGGAUCUUCGGACCUUGCGCUAAUAGAUGAGCCUAAGUCGGAUUAGCUAGUUGGUGGGGUAAAGGCCUACCAAGGCGACGAUCUGUAGCGGGUCUGAGAGGAUGAUCCGCGCCACUGGGACGGGGACACGGCCCAGACUCCUACGGGAGGCAGCAGUGGGGAAUAUUGGACAAUGGGGGGAACCCUGAUCCAGCCAUGCCGCGUGUGUGAAGAAGGCCUUAUGGUUGUAAAGCACUUUAAGCGAGGAGGAGGCUACUUUAGUUAAUACCUAGAGAUAGUGGACGUUACUCGCAGAAUAAGCACCGGCUAACUCUGUGCCAGCCGCCGCAGUAA
rnacentral:rRNA from 1 species